rnacentral:rRNA from 1 species
AAUACGUUCCCGGGCCUUGUACACACCGCCCGUCACGUCACGAAAGUCGGUAACACCCGAAGCCCGUGGCCCAACCCGCAAGGGGGGGAGCGGUCGAAGGUGGGACUGGCGAUUGGGACG